UCACGACGAACGCUGGCGGCGUGCCUAAUACAUGCAAGUCGAACGGUCUUUCUAUGGAAGCUUGCUUCCACUGAGAAGAUAGUGGCGAACGGGUGAGUAACACGUGGGUAACCUGCCCAUAAGAGGGGGAUAACAUCCGGAAACGGGUGCUAAUACCGCAUAGUUUUCUUGAUCGCAUGAUCGGGAAAGGAAAGACGGCCUUUGUGCUGUCGCUUAUGGAUGGACCCGCGGCGUAUUAGUUAGUUGGUGAGGUAACGGCUCACCAAGACGAUGAUACGUAGCCGACCUGAGAGGGUGAUCGGCCACAUUGGGACUGAGACACGGCCCAAACUCCUACGGGAGGCAGCAGUAGGGAAUCUUCCGCAAUGGACGAAAGUCUGACGGAGCAACGCCGCGUGAGUGAAGAAGGUUUUUCCGGAUCGUAAAACUCUGUUGUCAGAGAAGAACAAGUUGGAGAGUAACUGCUCCAGCCUUGACGGUAUCUGACCAGAAAGCCACGGCUAACUACGUGCCAGCAGCUGC
rnacentral:rRNA from 1 species